rnacentral:pre_miRNA from 1 species
GAAGUACUCCCUCCGUCCGAAAAUUCUUGUCUUUGAUUUGUCUAAAUACGGAUGUAUCAAGUCAUGUUUUAGUAUUAGAUACAUCUGUAUCUAGACAAAUCUAAGACAAGAAUUUUGGGACGCAGGGAGUAUGAA